AGAGUGAUCCACUUCCUCUCUAAGUGACUGGUGACUGUCUGGCUGUCAGGGCAGUCUUCAAAUGGGGCUCUUCAAAAAAGAGAAAGAAAAAUACCAUAUGAGAUCUCUAAUAUGUAGAAUCUAAAAAAAAAAGAAGAUAAAUACAAAACAGAAACAGACUCAUAGACAUAGAAUACAAACUUGUGGUUGCCAAGUGGGCAGCGGGUGGGAAGGGACAGACUGGGAGUUCAAAAUUUGUAGACACUGACAGGCAUAUGUAGAAUAGAUAAACAAGAUUAUACUGUAUAGCACAGGGAAAUAUACUCAAGGUCUUGUGGUAGCUCACAGAGAAAAAAAUGUGACAAUGAAUAUAUGUAUGUUCAUGUAUAACUGAAAAAUUGUGCUGUACACUGGAAUUUGACACAACAUUGUAAAAUGAAUAUAACUCAAUAAAAAAUGUAAAAAAGUGGGGCUCUUCAAGGCCACCUACUUGUUCACAAAGGGCAGCCCGUGUGACCUGAGCUGGAAUUAGCAGGUGACUUUUCCCCCAUGGGCCCUUGAGGGCAGCUGAGCAAAGGGCCACUUCUGAGGGUUGGUACAGCCCCAACAGAGGCCAAAACCUGUGAGGGAAGAUAGACGGUCCUUAAAUAUUUAGGCCACCUUAUGAACUAUUCUGCUACCCCCUAGAUCUCCUUGGAGAGUGCCACGGUGGGGGCCAGGGUCUUCUGGAACUAGAAGACCUUAAUUGGCCCCCUGCCUAGGAGGUCUUGGGUCCUGAGCUCAAUUUCCCCUUCACAGCAGCUGCCACCCUCAGAAGCAGCCGGCAAGCUUGCCCUGGAAAGUUCCUCACCUCAGGGCAUCCCUUGAGCAUCGGAGGGGGUUGCUGAGCCAACACAAGCAUAACUUUACAUGGUGAGAAGAGGAGCAGGUGGCUGCUUCAGAGUGUGUGGCGGCUCCUCUAGUCAAGGUCACCAAGAGGAAAGGAACAAGUCAACAGAAAAAUACUAUGUUAUUAUUUUACAAUUUUAUUAAAAUUUAAUAAAUAAUUAUAGAAAAAGAAAGAAAGAAAGAAAGAAAAAAAAAAAAAAGAAAGAAAAGGAAAAGAAAAACAAUCCUGGUCAUAAAAGUCACUACAGACACCCUUUCCUGCGACCCUGUGCCCUGAGGCAGAGGAGGUAUUUCUGAGAUGAAAAUGAGGCCUGAUCAUGGAUUAAACAAUACUGAGGGGAAAAAUAAACCAGAAAAGUUGGUAUAUGCCCCUUUUUGAGACUUGUCCAGUCUGCAGGGUGAAGGCUCAGAUCCCUUUGGAGUUCGCCAGACUUAGCAGGCUCAGGCUCCCAAGGUUUUAGAGUUACAAACUUUGGAAAGAAAAUAAUUUCCAAACUUUGAUGCUAAUUAAGAGAAGGAGGCAACCUCUGGCUCUUAAUCCUCCACUCUUCAGGGCAAGUGGAGCCUGGGACCUGAGAAACAAGGCAUGCUGAGGACAACAUCAAUUUAGUACCCAUUAUGUGUUCUCCUGAUGCAGUACCCCGGAACCUUUUCUAAUAAAGACUCUGGGUUAGUGCUGAUCUAGUCUCUUUGCUAUUCUUAUUUUGUAACUAAAAAGACUCUUUUGAGUCCAGAUAUUACAGUAAGGGUUCAGUCUGGAUAUGGGAUCAGGUAUAUUCCAAUCAGUUUCCCCAAGGAGCCAACAAGCCAUGGAUUCAUUUAUGACAUCAGCCGUGCUUAUAAGCUAAAUCUCAUGUUCUCAGUGAAGCAUUUCCAAAGUCACUUUAGUCAUAUGUGACUGGUGAAAAUAUUUGAAGCCGGAAAAAGGAAAGUGUUCCUUGGAGACAAACUAUCUCAAAUUAAUAAAAGGUGAUACUGAGACAAU